UAGGGAAUUUUCGUCAAUGGGCGCAAGCCUGAACGAGCAAUGCCGCGUGAACGAGGAAGGUCUUCGGAUCGUAAAGUUCUGUUGAGAGGGAAAAAGGGUCACCAGAGGAAAUGCUGGUGAAGUGAUAUUACCUUUCGAGGAAGUCACGGCUAACUACGUGCCAGCAGCCGCGGUAAUACGUAGGUGGCGAGCGUUAUCCGGAAUGAUUGGGCGUAAAGGGUGCGUAGGCGGCCUGUUAAGUCUGAAGUGAAAGGUACCGGCUCAACCGGUACAGGCUUUGGAAACUGGCAGGCUGGAGGACAGGAGAGGGCGGUGGAACUCCAUGUGUAGCGGUAAAAUGCGUAGAUAUAUGGAAGAACACCAGUGGCGAAGGCGGCCGCCUGGCCUGUUACUGACGCUGAGGCACGAAAGCGUGGGGAGCAAAUAGGAUUAGAUACC
rnacentral:rRNA from 1 species